AUUGACAUCAAAUUACAAUAAAUACAUUUGAAAUAAAUAAAAAUGUUAAAUCCACUAAACAUUUGUUUAGAAAAAUAUGUGUGGAGUAUUGCACAUUUUUAAUUAAUAUAUAUAAAUAGAUAUAUACUUUAUUUUUCACAAAUAUAUUUCAACUUAAGAAACAAUUCUUUCCAUAUUACACUAAUGAAUCUACUGUAUAUUUUUGUUCUAAUGAUAUUGUUAAAUAUGGAAUGCAAUGAAUGUUAAUAGGAAUGUGUUUAUUCUAAGCAGAACCAUUGAACAGUUGUUUUACAUAUGUUUUUUUUUAACUGACUGAAAAUGUGUUCAGCAUCCUACCAUACAUAAUAUUCUCAUCUGUGAAAAUUUUUAAGUAAAGUGCACAAGUAUGCUUCAUACCUUUUUUUUUCAAAAUCUAGUGCUCAUUCUUUAUUUAUUUAAAAAUGUAAAUAGAUUUAUCCUUCACUAGUUUUCAGUAAAAUCCAAUUGAAUAAGGCAUAAUUUUUUGAAAAUUUAAUAUAUAUUUUUUUUCAUCGAGGAUUCACAGAUAUUUGAUGAAACAGUAAAACAAAACAUGUCACUACUUUUGCAGAAGUCAAAACCCUUCUUGUAGCUUACUAGCCGAUUGGGAAAACUAAUAUACAUAGCAUCUGUGUAAGUUUUAAGAUUGGAGACCUAUCCUAUAUGGCAUCUAAGUUUAGAAGACAUAUCUUAUAUGACAUCUAAGUUUGGGACACCUAUUGUAUAUGGAAUCUAAGUUUUAACAUUUUGGAUGAGAAUUUUAAUGUAUUGUUAUAAAUCUAAUUUGUGUGAGACUUUCUGUAUUUAACUAUUGAUCUAUUACUUUCCACUUUAAGAUAUAUUCUUUAUUAUACUUUAUUACCAAUGUCUACAAUAAAAACAAAAAAACAGCCUUGGGCAAAAAUCACAAUGUUGAGAGUAGAUAUUGUAAAGACAUGUAUGCUGGUACAUUUUAAACACAUUUAAAAGAUUGAAUGCUUUUUUAAAAAAAUCUCUCUCAAACAAAAUGCCAUUACUAAACAUAAAAUAUAUAUACAGGUAAAAUAUAAGAUCUGGUAAUUAGGAUUUUUUGUUCAAAUAAUCUUUUGGAAAAUAGAAAAAAAAAAAAAUAUAUAUAUAUAUAUUUUAAAAUGUUAAAAACAAAUCAAAAGUCUAAAUAAAUGCUGUCGAGAUGAAUAAGUAUAUACCAAGUUGUGUUUAAAUGAGGUCAUUACCACAUAGGCUCUAUUAAUUACUUGUAUUGCAAUAAGUAACAAUCAUGACCUAUUUUCAGUUAGGGCUGAUAUGUGAUAUUUUGGGUUUUUGGUACAUCUGCACAAUUUAGGCCAACUUGUGCCCAUAAACCUUUCAAAGGUUACUUCCCUUUUAUAGCUCAAAAUCAAAAAGCUACAGCUAGGGUUCAUUCAUAGCUCAAAUAGUAAAAAUUUAUAUAAUUGAAUAAAAAAUCUGUUGUAAAUAUAUAUUUACAAUUACUUUGCCCUUUCUCAGAUCAAAUUUUUGUAGUCAACCCCACCUCCGGGAUAAAGCCCAGUAUAUUCCCAGGGUCGACAUAACCAAACACAGGGCUGACUAGUUUGAUAUGAGUAUAUUGAGAUCAUAUAAAAAAAAUAACAUUACCAAAUGUUUAUAUUCAUAGUUCUUUUUUGUAUUUUCUCUUAUUUUGAUUUUAUUUUAUUGCACAAACACUCUUAGUAUAUUAAAUAUUACUAUUAAACUUUUAAAUUUUUAGAAUCAGGUCAGCCAAAAGAUACAAAGUAAUACUUAAAUUAUAUUUUUUUGCAAAUACAUUUGAAUAAUCUAAUGUGACAAAAAAAACUUAAAGUAAGACAUUUAUAUUUUUUAAAAUGUUAAUAACGUGAAACAUUAACAAACAAAAAAAAAAUCGUAAGUGACAAUGUUAUUGAGAGUUUGGCUGUUGGGUAAAGGAGAUUUUAAAUCUUUUCAGAGAAAUCUUUAUAUAAGAUUGAGAAUGUAGAUGAAUCAAGUACCCUAAGGAUAGAGCUAAAUGAGUGCGCCAGAAACGUACAACUUUUACAUAAUAGGCUUGGAAAACUUUCUCACCUGCCAUUCUGACCUUUAAACUAUAAUUAUUUGUACAUAAUCCCAAAUCUUUGGAUAGUUAGACAACUUUAAAUAGCGAUUUUUAUUAUUUCACAAACAUUUACAUUUAACUCGAUUACAAAAAAAAAAAAAAAAAAAACUUUA